rnacentral:ncRNA from 1 species
AAAGACUUAGUCCUAACCUUGCUGUUAACUCUUGCUAAACAUAUACAUGCAAGUAUCUGCGCCCCAGUGUAAAUGCCCUUAAUUUCUUACUAAGAUAACAGGAGCUGGUAUCAGGCACACCCACUCAGCUGUAGCCCAAGACACCUUGCUCUGCCACACCCCCACGGGCACUCAGCAGUAAUUAACAUUAAGCAAUAAGUGUAAACUUGACUUAGUUAUAGCAUAUCUCAGGGUUGGUAAAUCUUGUGCCAGCCGCCGCGGUCAUACAAGAGACCCAAGCUAACAGCAUCCGGCGUAAAGAGCGGGUACUUACUAUCUAAGCAACUAGGAUUAAAUCGCAACUGAGCUGUCAUAAGCCCAAGAUGCGCCUAAAGCCACCCCCAAGACGACCCUAGCGCCCACGAUUGACUAAACCCCGCGAAAGCCAGGGCUCAAACUGGGAUUAGAUACCCCACUAUGCCUGGCCCUAAAUCUUGAUACUUACCUUACCAAAGUAUCCGCCUGAGAACUACGAGCACAAACGCUUAAAACUCUAAGGACUUGGCGGUGCCCCAAACCCACCUAGAGGAGCCUGUUCUAUAAUCGAUAACCCACGCUACACCUCACCACUCCUUGCCCAGACAGCCUACAUACCGCCGUCUCCAGCUCACCUCUUCUGAGAGCUUAAUAGUGAGCCCAAUAGCCCCUCCCGCUAAAAAGACAGGUCAAGGUAUAGCUCACGGAGUGGUAGGAAUGGGCUACAUUUUCUAGAAUAGAGAACUAUACGGAAAGGGGUGUGAAAUAACCCCUGGAAGGCGGAUUUAGCAGUAAACUGGGACAAUAAAGCCCUAUUUAAGCUGGCUCUGAGGCACGUACAUACCGCCCGUCACCCUCCUCGCAGGCUAUAACCCCCAUAACUAAUAACCCACUAUGCCAAAGAUGAGGUAAGUCGUAACAAGGUAAGUGUACCGGAAGGUGCACUUAGCAUAC